UACAGAGGGUGCGAGCGUUGUCCGGAAUCACUGGGCGUAAAGGGCGCGUAGGUGGCGACCCCAAGUCGAUGGUGAAAGCUCGCCGCUCAACGGCGAGUCGGCCACCGAUACUGGGUUGCUGGAGCACUGUAGAGGCAGAUGGAAUUCCCGGGGUGUAGCGGUGGAAUGCGUAGAGAUCCGGAAGAACGACCGGUGGCGAAGGCGGUCUGCUGGGCAGUUGCUGACACUGAGGCG
rnacentral:rRNA from 1 species